UACGGAGGAUCCAAGCGUUAUCCGGAAUUACUGGGCGUAAAGAGUUGCGUAGGUGGUUUGUUAAGCGAAUAGUGAAAUGAUACGGCUCAACCGUAUGUCCAUUAUUUGAACUGGCAGACUAGAGGAUGAGAGAGGUCGCUGGAAUUCCUAGUGUAGGAGUGAAAUCCGUAGAUAUUAGGAGGAACACCGAUGGCGUAGGCAGGCGACUGGCUCAUUCCUGACACUAAGGCACGAAAGCGUGGGGAGCAAACGGG
rnacentral:rRNA from 1 species